UACGGGGGGUGCAAGCGUUGUUCGGAAUCACUGGGUGUAAAGGGUGUGUAGGCGGGUCGGUAAGUCGGAUGUGAAAACUCCCAGCUUAACUGGGAGCCGGCAUUCGAAACUGCUGGUCUUGAGUUAGGGAGAGGAAGAUGGAAUUCCCGGUGUAGCGGUGAAAUGCGUAGAUACCGGGAGGAACACCGGUGGCGAAGGCGGUCUUCUGGCCCUUUACUGACGCUGAAACACGAAGGCUAGGGUAGCAAACAGG
rnacentral:rRNA from 1 species